rnacentral:lncRNA from 1 species
GACCAAUGCAUCACUUUGCAUGGAAGAUAUCAGCCAAUGGCAUUUACUGACAGCAAUGCAUGCCCUCAUCAGCUGCCAUGGUCACCAAACUUUUUAUUCUUUCUUUUCAGCCUCAUUCAACCUCAGAAAUGUUAGUCCUUUUCUUGAAGCGUAAACAGAGAGAACAAAGGAGCACAUGCUCAAAAAGAAGUAGAAGUGGGAGCACCUGUGGACCCAGAGACUGACCAUCAAAGAAAGUAGUUGCCUGACAAUUUUCCAGUUUCUGCAUUCCUGCUCUUCGUACUCCAUUUGAGUCUACGGUGGACUCCUCCCUCCCCAUUUUGGUCUGCUUAGCACUCAUUUAUUUCUUCUGCUACUUAUGAACUCUGGUGAGACUGUUAAUUGUAGUGUCUCUCUGGCCUUUUGGUCCAGACAUGGGCGUGUGACCCAGUGAGGGUUGCUCCUAGAUUUGGUAUGUGGGCACUGGGAGAAAAAGCUCUCUCUUCUUUUUGAAGCAUGAGCUAUACGGGAUGUAGGUUUCCAAAGGAGCUCCUUUCUGCCAUGUGUUGAGAGGUUGCCAAUAGUAAAAGGAUGAGGCCAAAACACAACAGAAGCCUAGACAAGUAAAGCUGAGUGGUUUGAGAAAGAGACAGAGAACCCUUACAACAGUCAGAGAUUCAACACACAUUAGCAAAAACCUCACCCUUCUACCUGAACUAUUUUGAGAGAACCUCUGUUCUUUGCAAAUAAAUUGUCCUUAAUGGAGUACUCUGCAAUCAUUGAAUUCAGUUUUUGUUUUAUUUUGCAGAUAGGAAAGUUAAGGCCCAGGGUGGCUAAGUGACUUCCUCAUGACAUUUCAGCAUUGACUUGUGGCCUCCCAAACACAAACCUAGGACCUGUGAAUACCAAAAUCUGGGGAUACUCAAGUCCCUUAUAUAAAAUGGUAUAAUAUUUGCAUAUAACCCAUGCAUAUAAUCUCUAGAUUACUUAUAAUACCUAAUACCAUGUAAGUGGUAUAUAAAUAGUAGUUAUACUUUAUUGAUUUUUAUUUGUAUUUUUAGCUGUUGUAUUGUUGUUUUUAUUGUUUUUUUAUUCCGAAAUAUUUCCCAUCUGCCAUUGGUUGAAUACAGGAUGCAGAACUGGAGGAUAUGAAGGGCUGACUGUAGUUAGUAAAUUCAUAGAUAAGGAUCAAUCUUAUCAAAAUCAAAUAAAUGUAUGUUAAAAAUGUAAUGUCUUAGCUACUAAAUUCAUUUUCCCUAAAAUUAACAAUAUCUAAUACUAGAAGCAGCAUCUUCAAAAUUGGUUGUUCAUCUGGGAGACUGUGGUUAAAUUUCUUUUUUAGGCUUGAAGGCGUCAUAAUGCCCACAAUAUAUUUAUUUUCUCUCUUCUUUGGGAAAAGAAAAAUUGUGACUUUCCUAUUAUUCUGAAGUAAUUCCCACAAAGACUUCAAUACACCUUCCUCGGAAAGACACAUUUUGCAUCAUUGCAACAAUAAGUAUUCAUACAUUGUAAGGCUUGCAAACUUCCACUGAGAACGCAUUGCUCAAAAUAUUUGCCAGUUUGAGGUUUAAUGACACCUCAAGUGACAUUAUGUGUUUGCUGUCACUCACAUUUCCUAGACGAAUUUUUAAGGGAUGGAAAGAAAUCCUCUAGGUUGUAAUAGAACCCCAGUUUUGAGGGGUUAUUAUUUUGGACCUACAAAAAAAUUUAUAAUCAGAUAGCUUAAAUCAGUGUGGUAAUAUUUGCAUGCUGUACUGUAAUAUUGUUUUGCAUAAAGAAUAAAGGGACAAUGAAAUAACACUUUGAUAGUUUGUUUUAACACUUGAAAUUUUAAAGUAUUUGUUUCAUUGUGUAUUUUUCAAAAUGCAGACAUUAGGCCUGGCUUAAACAGUGAUCCUGUUUUGGCAGGCACUCAAUAAUAUUGUACGUGGCACCAUUCUUUGGAAAAAUUUUUUG